rnacentral:vault_RNA from 1 species
GUGCUGGUGUAGCUCAGUGGUUACUUCGCUAAUUCAGUGUUUGAACUAUGCGUCUCCCUUCGCGGGAUCAAACCACGGGCGCUGUCCAGUGCUUUU